GUCUGGUCCCAGAACAGUGAUAUUUACAACUAAUUGAUCACAACCAGUUACAGAUUUUUCAGUUCCUUCUAUACUCCCUCUGCUUCACUUGAAUUAGCCCCCU
rnacentral:Y_RNA from 1 species